rnacentral:rRNA from 1 species
UACGUAGGGUGCAAGCGUUAAUCGGAAUUACUGGGCGUAAAGGGUGCGUAGGCGGGUCUUUAAGUCAGGGGUGAAAUCCUGGAGCUCAACUCCAGAACUGCCUUUGAUACUGAGGAUUUCUAGUACGGGAGAGGUGAGUGGAACUGCGAGUGUAGAGGUGAAAUUCGUAGAUAUUCGCAAGAACACCAGUGGCGAAGGCGGCUCACUGGCCCGUUACUGACGCUGAGGCACGAAAGCGUGGGGAGCAAACAGG